rnacentral:misc_RNA from 1 species
CGGGCAUGGAUCAAAUUGAUUCCCUGACUCAAAAUAUUGUGUUGGGUAAUGAGAAUUUUGACCCGGCUGGCUUCCGAGAUGGUUUAUGUGACACAAAGGCAGUGAUCGAUGAGAUAGAGAAUUUCAUGAGAAUAGAAGAAGAUGAGGAUCCAUCCAAACAAAGGGACUUGCCAGUGGCAGUCAAUGAUGAUACUAAUGAAACUGGUUUACAAGAUAAAGGAUUUGGGCAGCUGCAACGAUUGCUAAUGGAUGAAUUAGAGGACGUAAUGAAAGGAAAUAAAGAAGUUGUUCAUGAUAAUGUUUGUAAUUUUGCAAC